rnacentral:lncRNA from 1 species
UAUGAGGAUUGCAAUUUCCCCAUAUCCUUGUUGACACUACGUUAAAAACUAGAACACAAGUUUUUUUUUCUUCUUGUGGCCACACCCUUGGUAUAUGGAAGUUCCCAGGCUAGGGGGGUCGAAUCGGAGCUGUAGCCACAGGCCUACGCAAGAGCCACAGCAACGCGGGAUCCGAGCCGCGUCUGAAGUCACUCGUUUUACUGUUAAACUGCCGUUGUCAUUCUUUUGUCCUGGGAAGGGAAUGAGCCAGUCACUAAGUGUUUAAUUUCAUGCGUAGCUGAAGUUCUCUAUACCUCUGAUGUGUUUUACACUGGCCAUUAGAGAGCAUGCUGAAGAUGGAAUUGUUCCACCUAAGGAGGUGAGUAGGUGAGCUGUGACCAUGAUAUUGAAGCUGAAAGUAGACUCCCUGGCAUUUGACAGUAAUCUGGGAAAGGGUGCCUAACCACUGAGCCUCCGUUUCCCUAUCAGUAAAAUAGGAUAACAAAAGCAUCCCACUUGCCUCAAGGUUGUGAAGAUUCUGUGUCUGGGAUCUAGUAGCUCUACUGUUAGUAACGAGAAUUGGGGCCAGCAGAGAGGAUUGCUUAUACGUAACCCUGAGGUGCUCUGUUUUCACAGAAGAUACUGUGUACUCGUUCAUAUGUGAUUAAAGGUGCAGUGUUUUGGGCUUUAAAUUAGAAUGAUUCUAACUUCUAUCUCCCGACUUUAAGGGACCUGGCAUGACUAAUUUAGUCACCUCUGUUUUAUGUGGGCUAUUUUACUUACCUCAUUUUCUUACUCAUUCUGUUUUUUUGUUUUGUUUGGUUUGGUUUUUUGGUUUUUUCUGUUUGUUUUUUGUUUUUUGUCUUUUUAUGGCCACACAUGUGGCAUAUGGGAAGUUUCUAGGCUAGGUAUCAAAUCGAAUCCAAGCUAUAGCUGCCAGCCUACACCACAGCCACAGCAACGUGGGAUCCUUAACCCACUGAGCAAGGCCAGGAGUUGAACCCACGUCCUCGUGGAUACUAGUCAGCUUCGUUUCCCUUGAGCCACGACUGGAACUCUGCUUAUCCUGAAUUUUGAGGUCACCAUCCUUUUUUACUUCUGUCUCAGUUGCUUAAUACUAUUAAACAACAUAUUGCUUAGUCUUGUUUUUCAGCUUUAUUAUCAAUGUGGUAUAUACCACUUGCAGACUUCUGCCACGUCCUCAUUUAAGGUUUAUCCAUGUUGAUAGCUGUAGUUGAUUCAUUGAUUUUCACUUCAAAGUGUGAAUGUGUCACAAUUCAUUCUGCUCUUGGUGGACAUUUACUUUAUUAGAUAUGCUUUUAUUGAAGGAGGAAAGGAGGACAGAAGAGGCACCAUUAAUAAGCAUUCUUGCUAUAGCAUUCUUCUGCUUGCUUGCAUGCAUCCACGAGAUAUGCAGGUGACUCAGGUAGGUGCCCAGAAGUGAAAUUACUAGGCCAUUGGGAAUGACUCAAUGCCAAAUUAUUAUUAUUAUUAUUUUGCUUUUUAGGGCCCCACCUGUGGCAUAUAGAAGUUUCCAGGCUAGGGGUAAAAUCGGAGCUGCAGCUGCUGGCUUAUGCCAUCAGCCACAGCAACUCGGGAUCCCAGCCUCGUCUGCAGCCUCCACCACACACAGCUCACAGCACUGCCGGAUCCUUUACCCACUGAGCAGGGCCAGGGAUCCAACCUGCAUCUUCACAGAUACUAGUUGGGUUUAUUACCGCUGAGCCACGCUGGGAACUCCAGUCCCAAAUUAAUUUGAAAAACAGUUACAUCCAUUUACCUUCCCACAUCCAAAAAUGUUGAAGUAAUUGUUUUACCCACAUUGACAUUAAUGGAUUUCUUACAUUUGUAAACUAACCAGGCCCCUGAGCAUCUUCUCGUGUUUAUUUAUUGUAGUUGUUUGAAAUACCUUUUCCUAAGUUGUACUCAUUUUCAUUUUCCUUUAGCUUUAUUUAUUUAUUUAUUUACUUAUUUUUUGCUUUUAAGGGCCACACUUGAGGAUAUGGAGGUUCCCAGGCUAGGGGUCCAGUCAGAGCUACAGCUGCCAGCCACAGCCACAGCCAUGCAGGAUCCGAGCUUCGUCUGAGACCUACACCACAGCUCACGGUAAUGCCAGAUCCUUAACCCACUGGGCGAGGCCAGGGAUCGAACCCAUAACCUCAUUGUUCCUAGUCGGAUUUGUUUCUACUGCGCCACAACGGAAACUCCAGUUUUGUCUUUUUAAAUUGAUUUGCAGGAGUUCUUUAUAGAGUUUUAGUCCUUUGUGUGUAAUACAUUUUGCAAAUAUUUUCCCCCUAAUUUAAUGUCUCACCACAACACUGUAUCUUUUGACAAACAGAAGAUCUUAAUUUUUUUAAAUUUUAUUUUCAUGGCCGCACCCACAGUAUAUGGAAGUUCCCAGGCCAGGGAUUGUAUCCAAGCCACAGCUGUGACCUACAUCACAGCUGCAGCAACUUCAGAUACUUAAAACCACUGUGCCAGGCCGGGGAGCGAACCUGUACCUCUGCAGCAACUUGAGGCACUGCAAUUGGAUUCUUAACCCGGAGUGCUACAGUGGGAACUCCCAAUCUUAAUUUUAUUUAUUUAUUUAUUUAUUUAUUGUCUUUUUGCCUUUUCUAGGGCCGCAACCGUGGCAUAUGGAGGUUCCCAGGCUCAGGGUCGAAUCGGAGCUGCAGCCACCAGCCUAUGCCAGAGCCACAGCAAUGCCAGAUCCAAGCCGUGUCUUUGACCCACACCGCAGCUCAUGGCAGUGCCAGAUCUUUAACCCACUGAGCAAGGCCAGGGAUCGUUUCUAGUUGGAUUCGUUAACCACUGUGCCAUGGCAGGAACUCUCCAAUCUUAAUUUUAAUAUAGGUGAAUUUAUGAAUCAUCGUUUUAUAGUUGGUGGGAAGAACACUACUUGAAGUCAAGUAUUCUAUUUUGUCUUCUAAAAGUUGUAAAGUUUUGCCUUUCAAGUGUAUGGUUUUUGCAUAUAGGGUGAGGAGUCAUGCAGCCUCUGACUCCCUUUUGGGCUUUGUGACCUCCUAUAAAUGAUUUCUUCCACAUCAAUGUCCUUGACUGCAAAAAUGAGACCCUGAUCCCUACUGUGUGUAAAGUUCUCGUGAGGUUAGAAUACAGCAUCCCAGCACACUGAGCCCCAAAUCUCAGUAGCUAUUCAGUAAUUGCUCCUUGGUCUAAGUCCAACUGCAUUCCCUAAGCAUGUGGACACUCAAGGAAAGUUGGCAAUUAACUGGGGAAGUUGUUGCUAGUACACAGCCUGCCAACUGCUACAACCAUCGCCAGGCUGGGUCUGAAUGCUCAGCAAAUCCCCCCACAGGGCACUGGCAGCUUGGAGAAUGUUCAUCCCUGUGCAGACUUGCCUGCUGCAGGCAGGUGCUCAGUCUUAGAGCUGAUUAGUGCAAAUCUGAUUCAUUGUAGAAAUGACUGCUUCCUAACUCCCUGGUACAGUCACAAAGUGGAGUCUGGACAUUCUAACCAGGAGCUUUGGGCCUUGAAAGGAGCUUGCUUAGUUUCUGCCAAUGACAACAUGUGCACACACGUUGUGCAUUCCUGUGAGCAAACAGGAGGCUUGGGAUCUGUUUUUGUUGUUGUUGUUGUUUUUCAUUUGGCCACCUCGAGGUAUUUGGAGUUCCUGGGGCAGGAUCAGAGCCGAGCUGCAGUUGUGACCUAUGCUGCAGGUGCGGCAGUGCUGGAUCCUUAACCCACUGUGCAGGGCUGGGGAUCAAACCUUUGUCCCAGCACUUCCAAGAUUGCUGCAGAUCCUGUUGCACCACAGCAGGAACUAAUGGUUGGUUUUUUUGUUUUUGUUUUUGUCACAACCUUGACUCAUGGGGAGAUAGAAGGGCUGGGAUUGUGUGGUGUACAAUUAGAGAUGUCUGUGAUCAGAGAGGCCUUGCGUUUCCCUCUGGAGAAAAGUAAUGACCACAAAGCAUGGGCGGGCAUUUCUUAGUGUGUUCUGGGAGGUCAGAUGUCAGAAAGGAGACCAAGCCUUGUUCAUGGAGUCUCUUGCAGUGGCUAUUGCACUCUCUUGAGCCUUUUUCAGUUGCACUUCCCAUUGUUCCUGCUUGCCAUUUUGAUCAGGAGCUUCCUUAUACAUGUUUUAUGGAGGGGACCACCGAGUUGGGCAGGCCAUCAAACAUUUGUUGAUCCUUUUCAACCCUGUAAUGUCCACACUUGAAAAACUGGAGACGUCCCAAUGAAAAACAGCUGGGUAGUGGUUUGUAAGCUUUGGUCUUUUGUGGUGGGUAGUGGCUGCCAUAUCACAGUUAAAGGUGACAGAUAGAAUCAAUACACAUGUCCCAUCCACACCAGAACACAGUAGGAAGGGAAUAUUGAUUGUAAAUAAUCCUGUGGGCUUACACAUGUGAAAAUAGAUGUUGUGAUUCCCUACUUGUGUAACUUUGUUAUCUUUUAUUGUGAUGACAGCUAAAUGUUUUAAUCAGGAGCGCUCAGUCAACAGGCAAAGUUGAUUUGUUUGUUGCUGCUUGCUCCCUCUAAACCAGAAGUGUUCUGUUUCCAGUAAAGUUGUUUGUCUCUCCAGCACUCGUUGCCUAGGAGUCCCCCUUCCAACCCUAUAGGAGCAAAGAUUUACUAGUCAAGAUUUAACCCAAACUGUAAAAUUGGGCCAAGGUCCUCUAGGAAAUAUUAAGUAUGAAAAAUUAUUCUACACAGUAGCUUUGUUUGAUCAGGGUAAGUUAAUUUUCUCAAAAGAUUAAUGAUAGAGCUCCAUGGUGGGUUAAGAAGGGUUAAGGAUCUGGCGCUGGCGCUGCCAUGGCUUGAGAUGCUUCUGUGGUGUGGAUCCAAUCCCUGGCCCUGGAACUUCUAUAUGCGUGGAUGCAGAAAAAAAAAAAAUACACACACACACACGAACUGUCUUGUACAUUAAACACUCUUAAAGAGCUGAGUAUCAUUUUUCCUCCUCCUCUGAGGUGGAAGUAGCCCCACUUCCCAACUGAUGUGAGUGCAGGAAAUGUGGUUGUACAGCCCACAAAAAUUUUUUAUAACUGCUUUAAGGUUGUUACUCUUGCUACUUUACUGUCUUAAAUGUAAACCACAAGUCAUAGAACCCAUUCUUUAUCUUGAACUUGAGCUUUCCUUUCAGAAAAGCACUUUAUAAACGCUUAGUUGUUCAGCAGUGUUCCAAUAGCUACUCUCCUCUUGCAGCAGUUCCCAGCCUACACAAGGUGGAUGGAUCAUUUCAGAAUGUCUUCCCCAAUACCCCACCCCCCAAAUAGCUGUGAUUGAACAACAUUGGGCACUACACAUAUGGCAGGCACUAUUUGUAAGCCUGCUGAUCAUUGGGACAAUCCUGAGGAUGAGCUUUGUUAACCACUCUUGUUUCACAAAUGAGGAAUCACUAGUCAAAUGAUGAUAUCUGUUGCUAAAAGUCUCCCAGGUUAAUUCUGGAGGUUGGAGUUCAGAUCGGGUUGGUUUUGUUCUUUGCCUGUAGGUCUGUUUCCACCCUCCCUGCCCAGCAGCAGUCUGAAGUAGGUGGACCCCAGACGUGGGUUAUUUGUUUUUACAUGUUCUUAGAUGCCAUGAAAUUCACUCUGACAUAUGUACCACUGCAGUCAUGAUACAGAGUAUUUCCAACACCCUCCCCACAUUCCCUUUGUGCCACUUUGUAGUCAGCCCCUUCUGCUACCUCUACAUCUGUCUAUAUUGGGAGUUCUGCCUGAGGCUAGGGCAUCUAUUGCUGGGGAAUCAGAGUAAACUGCUUCUUAGCUAGGAUUGGCCAUAGCUUGGAUGUCCCAGGCACUAUUCUCCGGUCCCUGUAUCUCAUCCCCUAACCCCACCAGGGGACUGAGUUGGUUACUAUGCCUAUGAAGCAGGUAUAAUUGUGAAAGGAUUGUGUGACUGUGAAAGAAUUCUCUAAGGGGAGGAUUCUUUUUUGAAUGGGGGGAGGGAUGCUAUGCCCGUUCAUGCAUAAAUAUGAUCACCUUCUAAUAAAACAUUGGGUCCUUCUGUGAGAUGGUCACAUGGUCAUAAGUAAGUAAUGUCAGGCCAGAGCCUCAGGCAUUUGGGUGGGCAGCCAUGGUAGCUGAGUGUAUUUGCUCCACAAGUGUCUGCAUCUAUAAAUGUUUGUGAUGACCUGUAAGGGAUGGCUCUGUACCAACGGAAGAGGGCUGUUGCUACAGUGCCUGGGGCAUGACCCAUGAAGGUGACAUGGUGUGUCAGCAGUAACCUAGAUUCUGGAAUCCUAGGAAAUGGCCUCAACUGCCUAGGGAGCUCUCAGUGUGGGACGUCUUUUAUUUCUCUAGGCCUUGGGUAGGAUUGGAUUUUGUAUUUUACUAGAAUGGAUGAUUCUGUGUUCUUUUUAAUAAGCUGGUUUUCUGGUUGUAGAAAAUAGAUUGUUAUGAUUUUUGUUUAGCUUGCAAGUGUUAGGGAAGCUGUAGAGAAGUAAAAUUUCUUCCCUUUUUCAGGGGUAGACUGAGGGGAGAAAUGAUGUGACCACAAGCUUUUACAUUAAGAAUGCAAGGGAAUUAGUAGAUGCAAACUAUUGCAUUUGGGCUACCAUGGCUGCCCACCCAAAUGCCUCUAUAACACAGGGAACUAUAUCUAGUCACUUGUGCUGGAACAUGAUGGAGGAUGAUGUGAGAAAAAGUAUAUAUUAUAUAUAUAUGACUGUGUCACAGUAGAAAAUGACAAAACACUGUAAAUCAACUACAAUGGAAAAAAUAAAAA